GAUGAACGCUGGCGGCGUGCCUAAUACAUGCAAGUCGAGCGAACAGACGAGGAGCUUGCUCCUCUGACGUUAGCGGCGGACGGGUGAGUAACACGUGGAUAACCUACCUAUAAGACUGGGAUAACUUCGGGAAACCGGAGCUAAUACCGGAUAAGAUAUUGAACCGCAUGGUUCAAUAGUGAAAGACGGUUUUGCUGGCACUUAUAGAUGGAUCCGCGCCGCAUUAGCUAGUUGGUAAGGUAACGGCUUACCAAGGCAACGAUGCGUAGCCGACCUGAGAGGGUGAUCGGCCACCCUGGAGCGGAGACACGGUCCAGACUCCUACGAGAGGCAGCAGUAGGGAAUCUUCCGCAAUGGGCGAAAGCCUGACGGAGCAACGCCGCGUGAGUGAUGAAGGUCUUCGGAUCGUAAAACUCUGUUAUUAGGGAAGAACAAAUGUGUAAGUAACUAUGCACGUCUUGACGGUACCUAAUCAGAAAGCCACGGCUAACUACGUG
rnacentral:rRNA from 1 species